GCAGUGGUGGCACACACCUUUAAUCCCAGCACUUGGGAGGAGGAAGCAGGAAGGUCAAAAGUUCAAGGCCACCCUGGGCUACAUGAGAUUGAUCCAGUCUACAAGAGAAACAGCCAGGUGACAGAAGCUCAAGCCUUUAAUCCCAGCACUAGGGAGGUGGAGACAGUAAUACAUGGUGGGAGGAGACAGAAGUUCAGCCCCUUUUCCAUCUGAGGAGUGGUGGAGUGCUUCUACAGAUGCAUUCACUUGUUUAUUGACAAAGAUCCAGACAUUAUUCCAGCUCCAGGAUAUCAUAGCUAUGAGCAACAAAGCAGUAGAACACUGACUGAGACAAGGGGGCAGCGAUGACAGGCAGGCACAUCCAGACUCUGCACAGAGAAAUGUAAGAAUACAUUUGGCAAAGUUGAGGAAGAGAAAUAUUGGCGUGGUUGAAGUGUGACCUUGGGGUAAGAGAGACAAUAGCAGCAAUGAAGUCAAAAGUAAUAAGUAGAGGUGACAGCCAUGCUCACCGCGUGACAGCGGGAUCAUCGAGGUGGGUACUACUAUCAAGUAAACAAGAGCCAGCAGACCCAGAGGACAGACUACCAAAGCUGCACAGCCAGUGAGGGAACAGACUGGAGUCCAGUGAGGGGUAGACCCACGUCAGUCAGCGACUACCUGUCUGUCUGAGGUAAUGCCUACCCUGGUUCUAGCUAGCAGUUCCUCAGUCUGUUUUCCUUUUAAACUUUUGGCUUAUGGUUUUGUUUAUGAAAUGGUGUACCUGUCUGUCUGAGGUAAUGCCUACCCUGGUUCUAGCUAGCAGUUCCUCAGUCUGUUUUCCUUUUAAACUUUUGGCUUAUGGUUUUGUUUAUGAAACGGUGUCACUCAGCAGCCCCAGCUGGCCUCAGACUUACAGUCCAGUAUUGGUGAAAUUAUUAAGGCCACUCCACGUAGUUAAAGGGGGGGGGUAU